UACGUAGGUGGCAAGCGUUGUCCGGAUUUAUUGGGCGUAAAGGGCGUGCAGGCGGUCUGUUAAGUCUAGGGUGAAAGCUCCCGGCUCAACUGGGAGAGGUCCUUGGAUACUGGCAGACUUGAGGAGAGUAGAGGAGAGUGGAAUUCCCGGUGUAGUGGUGAUAUGCGUAGAUAUCGGGAGGAACACCAGUGGCGAAGGCGGUUCUCUGGGACGGUACUGACGCUGAGACGCGAAAGCGUGGGGAGCGAACAGG
rnacentral:rRNA from 1 species